GAUGAACGCUGGCGGCGUGCCUAAUACAUGCAAGUCGAGCGAACAGACGAGGAGCUUGCUCCUCUGACGUUAGCGGCGGACGGGUGAGUAACACGUGGAUAACCUACCUAUAAGACUGGGAUAACUUCGGGAAGCCGGAGCUAAUACCGGAUAAUAUAUUGAACCGCAUGGUUCAAUAGUGAAAGACGGUUUUGCUGUCACUUAUAGAUGGAUCCGCGCCGCAUUAGCUAGUUGGUAAGGUAACGGCUUACCAAGGCAACGAUGCGUAGCCGACCUGAGAGGGUGAUCGGCCACACUGGAACUGAGACACGGUCCAGACUCCUACGGGAGGCAGCAGUAGGAAAUCUUCCGCAAUGGGCGAAAGCUUGACGGAGCAACGCCGCGUGAGUGAUGAAGGUCUUCGGAUCGUAAAACUCUGUUAUUAGGGAAGAACAAAUGUGUAAGUAACUAUGCACGUCUUGACGGUACCUAAUCAGAAAGCCACGGCUAACUACGUG
rnacentral:rRNA from 1 species